rnacentral:rRNA from 1 species
CAGGACGAACGCUGGCGGCGUGCCUAAUACAUGCAAGUCGAGCGGAGAUUUAAAAGCUUGCUUUUAAAUCUUAGCGGCGGACGGGUGAGUAACACGUGGGCAACCUGCCCUGUAGACUGGGAUAACUUCGGGAAACCGAAGCUAAUACCGGAUAAUCUUUUGGACCACAUGGUCCGACAGUAAAAGUUGGGUUUUACCUAACACUACAGGAUGGGCCCGCGGCGCAUUAGCUAGUUGGUAAGGUAAUGGCUUACCAAGGCGACGAUGCGUAGCCGACCUGAGAGGGUGAUCGGCCACACUGGGACUGAGACACGGCCCAGACUCCUACGGGAGGCAGCAGUAGGGAAUCUUCCGCAAUGGACGAAAGUCUGACGGAGCAACGCCGCGUGAACGAUGAAGGCCUUCGGGUCGUAAAGUUCUGUUGUUAGGGAAGAACAAGUACCGUUCAAAUAGGGCGGUACCUUGACGGUACCUAACGAGAAAGCCACGGCUAACUACGUGCCAGCAGCCGCGGUAAUACGUAGGUGGCAAGCGUUGUCCGGAAUUAUUGGGCGUAAAGCGCGCGCAGGCGGUCUCUUAAGUCUGAUGUGAAAGCCCACGGCUCAACCGUGGAGGGUCAUUGGAAACUGGGAAACUUGAGUGCAGAAGAGGAGAGUGGAAUUCCAUGUGUAGCGGUGAAAUGCGUAGAUAUAUGGAGGAACACCAGUGGCGAAGGCGACUCUCUGGUCUGUAACUGACGCUGAGGCGCGAAAGCGUGGGGAGCAAACAGGAUUAGAUACCCUGGUAGUCCACGCCGUAAACGAUGAGUGCUAGGUGUUAGGGGUUUCGAUGCCCUUAGUGCCGAAGUUAACACAUUAAGCACUCCGCCUGGGGAGUACGACCGCAAGGUUGAAACUCAAAGGAAUUGACGGGGGCCCGCACAAGCAGUGGAGCAUGUGGUUUAAUUCGAAGCAACGCGAAGAACCUUACCAGGUCUUGACAUCCUUUGACAACCCUAGAGAUAGGGCUUUCCCCUUCGGGGGACAAAGUGACAGGUGGUGCAUGGUUGUCGUCAGCUCGUGUCGUGAGAUGUUGGGUUAAGUCCCGCAACGAGCG